rnacentral:rRNA from 1 species
CCAGACUCCUACGGGAGGCAGCAGUGGGGAAUAUUGCACAAUGGGGGAAACCCUGAUGCAGCGACGCCGCGUGAGUGAAGAAGUAUUUCGGUAUGUAAAGCUCUAUCAGCAGGGAAGAAAAUGACGGUACCUGACUAAGAAGCCCCGGCUAACUACGUGCCAGCAGCCGCGGUAAUACGUAGGGGGCAAGCGUUAUCCGGAUUUACUGGGUGUAAAGGGAGCGUAGGUGGCAUGGUAAGCCAGAAGUGAAAACCCAGGGCUCAACUCUGUGGAUUGCUUUUGGAACUAUCAAGCUAGAGUGCUGGAGGGGUAAGCGGAAUUCCUAGUGUAGCGGUGAAAUGCGUAGAUAUUAGGAGGAACACCGGUGGCGAAGGCGGCUUACUGGACAGAAACUGACACUGAGGCUCGAAAGCGUGGGGAGCAAACAGGAUUAGAUACCCCUGUA